AGCGAACGCUGGCGGCAGGCUCAACACAUGCAAGUCGAGCGGGCAUAGCAAUAUGUCAGCGGCAGACGGGUGAGUAACGCGUGGGAACGUACCUUUUGGUUCGGAACAACUGAGGGAAACUUCAGCUAAUACCGGAUAAGCCCUUACGGGGAAAGAUUUAUCGCCGAAAGAUCGGCCCGCGUCUGAUUAGCUAGUUGGUGAGGUAAUGGCUCACCAAGGCGACGAUCAGUAGCUGGUCUGAGAGGAUGAUCAGCCACAUUGGGACUGAGACACGGCCCAAACUCCUACGGGAGGCAGCAGUGGGGAAUAUUGGACAAUGGGCGCAAGCCUGAUCCAGCCAUGCCGCGUGAGUGAUGAAGGCCCUAGGGUUGUAAAGCUCUUUUGUGCGGGAAGAUAAUGACGGUACCGCAAGGAUAAGCCCCGGCUAACUUCGUGCCAGCCGCCGCCGUAA
rnacentral:rRNA from 1 species